GAAGUGUGCUCUACCGAUAUAAUCUGCAAAACAGAUAAUCUGCUUCUUACAAUGGAGUAUUAGAACAGUCUAGUAGGCCACCUGAGCCCCCAUAAUAUACCCUUCCUCAGCUCACAAACAGAGCUUUUCGGGUUGCUGACCUGAGCCCAGAGGCAUCAUGGAGGCUCACAAUUAAAAGGCUUUGACCCAACUUUUGACCUCGGUGUCUGCUUCCUGUGGAGAGUGUCUGAACUGGCCUAACGGAACUGCAGACUGAGGAAGCCGCCCAAAUUGCUUGCAUUCUACCUUCCAGCUCCCAACAGCACAGGGUCCUGUUUGUUCAGACGCACGCCGGUCCAACAGCUCCAAACAGUCUCUGUCACCCAGAUGGCUACGGUGUUCUUGACAAUUACUUAUCCCUUCCUCGUAUCAGAAGUGACAAUCCUUACUUUAACACGUGUGUUUGCAGCUUCAGCUGCAUGCUUUAAUCGAUGAAUACAGCAUCUUUUAUUGAUGCAGAUUUAUCGGGAGCUUCAUUCAGCAAGAUCACCAACACAAGGCACUGGGAAACGUGACCUCCAGUGAAAAGUUACUGGUUACCUGAAUAUUGUAACUGCUGUUGCUGGUGGAAUAAAUGUAGAUUCCAAACUAGGACAGCUGGUCUAAAAUGAAACAAAUAUUUUAUCUCAUUGAAUUGCCUGUGAAACUGCCUGAACAGCUGAGAAGUGAUCAGCAAAGUGAUAAAUGAGCAUCUUCAGAAACGAAAACCCCAAUAUUGAGAAAUCCUUCGUCAUAAGAAAAAAAUUAAAAUUUUGAUAUGUGAGGGUUCUUUGUUCGAAAUCAGUGUAUUCCCUCCUAUAGUUUUUAUUCCCUC